rnacentral:lncRNA from 1 species
AAGGCGCCAAGGUCCAAAAACGCCCGAGGCGCUAGGCGCUCGCCCGAGCGAAGCGAGGCGCUAAAAUAUAAAAAUAUAAAAUAUAAUUAAUAAAUAUAAUUAAUAAAUAUAAUUAUUUAAAAUUUUAAAUAAAAAUAUAAAAAUAUAUAAUAUAAUUAAUAAAUAUAAUCACAUUAACAGUAUAAACCUGCUGACAGAGAAACGAGGAAGCAGCGGCGGCGAGCGGCGGCAGCAGUGGCGGCAGCAGCGGCAGCGGCGAGCGGCGGCAGCGGCAGCGGGAAAGGGAAAGGGAGCGGAAGGCGCGAGCAGCGGGAGGCCUCGAGGGAGGCGCGAGCAGCGGGAAGGCUCGCGGGAGGGCUCGAAGGAGGAGAGAGGGCUCGCGGGAGGCGCGAGCAGCGGGAGGGCUCGCGGGAGGCGUGAGCAGCGGGAGGCUCGAGGGAGGCGCGAGCAGCGGGA